AAAGGUUAAAAUAGUAAAAGAAUAAUAAUGUAUAUUAUAUCAUAAAUAUUAUAAAAUAAAGUCAUUUUCUUCACCUUUUUCCACCGAAAACAAGAGAAAGAAACUUUGUUCUUCAAGCUUUAGCAUUCGGCCAUCUUAGGGAUUUCAAUUCAAGGUUAGUUUGAUUUUAGUUUUUGAUAAUUUUUACGUUUUUGUGAUCGUUGCUUUGAAUACUUAAAAAAUCAUGUAUUAAUUUUGUGAAUUGAUGAUGAUUUUGUGUUUUGCCAUUGAUGAGUGCUUGAGCUUUUUGAUAGUUGUUGAUAAAAAAUGAAAGAUAUGUUAAAGAUUAAUAUGUUUUGUAUUGGAUUUUUUGGUGAUUUUGAGUAAUUAGGGCUAAAUUACAAAAAAAUAAAUUUUUGAAGGACUAAAAUGUGAAAUACAUGAAAUGUAUGGACUUAUAUGGGUACUAGGAAGAUUCGGCCCUUAGGGAGUGUGGCCAAAUUUUGUGUAUUUUGUGUUUUGUGCAAUAAGAACUAAAUUGUGAAAAUGUGAAUUAUUAGGGGUAAAAAUAUAAUUUUCCCAUUUAUGUGUUUUAAAUGAGAUUUAUUUGAAUAUGUUUAGAUCAAGAAACCAAGAAAUCGGAUUUAGAUCGGGGGAAAUCGAAAGUAGUUGAGUAGCCGAUCUAUUAGUCGACGACAUCGGAAGUAAGUUAUUAAGCACAUAUAUAAUUGUAUCGUUUUAAAAUCAGCUUAGUAUCUGAGUAAUUAUGCUGAAUUGAAUGGUAUAUAUAUAUAUACAUGUAGUGAUAAAAUUAUUGAAAUAAGAUGUAUUGAGUUGUUGAUUUUCGACACUAAGUGUGCGAAUUUAAUUGUGAAGCACUAAGUUGCGAGUUUAAUUGUAAAGCACUAAGUGUGCGAGUUUAAUGGUAAAGCACUAAGUGUGUGAGUUUGAUUAUUGAGCACUAAGUGUGCAAACUUAUUAAAUAUUUUCGAAUAACUAUUAGUAUUGAGUAAUUGUCUUAUUGAGAAAUCAUGAUUAUUAAAAUGAGUAAAUACUUGGAAUUCUUGAGUAAUAACCAUUAUGGUUGUAUUUUAAGGUUAAGCUUUGUAGGAAUUAAACCUAUGUGGUGAUUAUAUUUGGAAUCAUAUAUAUAUAAUAUGAUUCUUUAUAAUACAUGAUGAGGAAAUGCAUAAUGUAUUUGGUCUUGUGAUUAAAUUUGAAGAAAUGUUUAAGGUCGUGUAAUUAUAUUGAUUUUAGUUAAAUCAUAGUAAUAAGUGAAUAAGUAUUUUAUGAUAUGGUAGGCUAAAUGUAAGAUGAUUUAGUAGUAUGAAUUGGUUGAAUAUUAUUUGAGAUAUCGGUUUAAAUAGUAGAGUAUAUUUGCUUAUAACCUACUAAGCUAAAUUAGCUUACAAUGUGUUGGAUAAUUGUUUUGAUGUAUAGAUUUUGGUGAUCGCUAUGUGUUCGGGGAUCGUCAGCUAAGCUCGUCACACUAUCGAUAUUUUCUUUUGGUAUUUUGCUAAAUCGUUCUCAAAUAUAUGGCAUGUAUAGUAUAGUUAAAAUAUUGAUUUUGGAACUAAUGUGUAUAUGUAUCUAAAAGCCAUGCUAAAAUGGCUUAUCUCUUUUGGUUUGAAUUCGGUAUUAAUGCAUAUUCUUUAAUGGUCUAAAAUGUGGUACAUGUUCAUGAAAUUUUUAUGCUUAAAUGCUGCCCAAUUUGUGGUAAUUAUGCUGCC
rnacentral:lncRNA from 1 species